UCAGUAGAAAUAACUGGUUAGGCUGGAAUUACACUACGUCCGCAUUUUUUGACGUAUGCGUUACCGAGUGCGUUUUUUCCAAUACGCUAGGUGCGAUCAUC